ensembl:processed_transcript BC006965 cDNA sequence BC006965
UAGGCUCAUUCAAUGUCUGGAGCACGCGUCGGCCACUCCACCUCGGGCGCUCUGAAGCCGGCCGCAUGGAGACUGGGGGACGGUGGUAGGAUGGUCCUAGACCCCUUCCCUCUGUUUCUGCAACCUUGGUGAAUUGAAAAGGGAUCAAUAUCCUUUGUCAGCUCUACCAUACCAGAUGGUCAAGGGACAGAGGAAAAAUGGCAGGGCAGACCCCCUUGGAUUUGCCCACGUGGAGUUUGGAUAUUUACCUGGCUUCUUUGUCAAGUCUUGGGCCUGAUGCAGGUAAGUGUGGCGGGGCCCUUGGAGAUCUGUUGGAGCAGUUGCAAGGGGCCACUGUAGACCAGCAAUCGCCAUGGCUGCAGCAUUGGUGCCAAGCAAGAAAUCCCAUCAUGUUCCACACACCAAGGCUGAGGAGGCAUAGAGUUGCCUGCAGAUGAGUAGAGUAGCAGCCCUCUGUCCUUCCAUGAAAGGAGACUCCAUGGGAGACAAUGAGGAGAAUGAAGAGAUGGAGGCAGGAUGUGUCAAUGUCUGAUGGACCACCUCACCAUCUGGGGAAGAGGGAUGCCUCUAGUGGGAUGAGAAACAGAAGAGCAAAAUCCCAAGUCCAAAGGACAUCAUGGAGGAAGGGAUUCUACUGGAGGGGCUCCACGUGGCUCAUCCCUUACAAAGAGAAUUGUGUUGCUGCAGAUGGCGAGCUGGCUCCGUGGGGAAAGGUGCUAGCCAUCAAGCCCCAUGAGCUCAGUUUGAUUCCCUGGGACCCACACAGUGGGAGAACUGACUCCUGCAAGAUGCUCUCUGAUUUCUUCUUUUUCUUUUUUGACAAAAAGUGAGAAAAUUCUUGCUAACUCUCUUAGUUCAGCCCAC